UUCUGUAUCUAAUUCUAUUCUAUCUAAAUAGACUUCUUGGGAGACUGUAGGGGGAAAGAAGAAAAGCCUUGGAAAGGAAAGUUCAGAAAACAAAGAGAACAGAGAAAAACGAGGGGAGAGAGAAGUGAGUCGUGGACGGGGAAGUUCCAACAGACGGGGAAGAGGAGGCAGCCGUGGCCGAGAGUUUAGUGCUGAAGAAAAUGGAGUGGACAACAGUCAAGGAGACAGGCCUUCAGAUCGUGGGAAACGUGGCCGUGGGAGAGCUAUGGAGGGCUCUUCUCCAAAUUGAAUCGCAGCAGCCACCUGUGUGUGGGAGUGUAAUGGACUCCUCAAGAUGUACCUUGGCAGCAGGAGAGUGCAAGAUUCCUUCUGUAGAACUCUUGUGGAGGGAUUUGAUAUGUUCUUGUGCCAUUUUGUUUUAGUGGAUCCUGUUGUCAGGUUUGCCUUCUGUUUUCAAUACCCAGUAGGAGAGCACUAGUGACUUUAGAGGUUUUUUGUUUAAAAAAAAUAGAAUUAGCAUGGGAGUAUUGAUGAACAGAACUAUGAAAAGACACAGUACUGUGGACUCAGGUACAACUCUAAUUGCAUUCUCUAGAAGAGAUAGGAAAGCUGAUGGUCUUUGUUUGAUGUGGAAACGAUGCGUAGUUGGUUUAGAUUUUCAUUUAUCUAGUAGAAAGAAGCAUAUUUUUCUUAGAGCAAAAGGAAUGAAUGUGGAUACCUGGGAAUGGUACAGCUUGUGUGGGGAAAAUUGGUAAUAAAGAAGUUACACUGGUGAAGUGUACAGCAGAGCUAAUAGCUUAAUAAUGUCUGACCUAUGGGGAAAAAAGAAUUUCUACGUACAAAAGACUCUCUUACUUGGAAUAUCCAGUAACGAGGCAUUCAGUGACUGGAACAUCAAACUUCAUUGUCUCCAAAUCUGUAUCCUGAAGGAAUGGAAGGGUGUAAAGACAUAUAGCUUCCAGAGGGUUGUGAGAAUUAUUCUAUUGUGCGUGUCAAUCAGCUGAUAAGAAAUAACAUGUUCACAGAGUAGCUUUGCUGAGGAGAUUGUGGUAUAAUUCACUGUUCACAGAUGGAAUUCAAAUGCUUUAGUUUUUAUUGUAAAGUAAUUAUUUAUACAUGUUGUAAAUAUAAACAUAGGACUUUUAAAAAUUUUUGGGGUGAAAUUUAGAGAUUAAUUUCAAGUUCAAUCUGUAUCUUUAUUUGUAACCAUGUGAACAAUACAUUGCAUUUGUUGUUAGCACUAACUGUUUAGGUGAAUAUCAUGUUUCAAGCCAAAGCUUUUUAAUCAUUGCUAUCAAACUGAUUUAUCUGACUGAAGAAAUGGGAAGAACUUUAUCCAGCUUCUGUAUUUGGGUUAGUUUAUACAGUAUUUCUGUAUCUCUUUACCAAAUAUUUCAUACUCUGCAUUAAUGUGAGUAAAAUGCCUCGAUGAAGUCUUCUCAACUGUCUGUAAUAAACCCUGUGCGUGGCUUCCUGA